UUAGUACUCCCUCCGUCCGGAAAUACUUGUAAUGGGAAUGGAUGUAUCUAGAUAUAUUUCAGUUCUAGAUGCAUACAUUUUUAUACAUUUGUGCGACAAGUAAUUUGGGACGAAGUAGUACAAA
rnacentral:pre_miRNA from 1 species